UACGUAGGGUGCAAGCGUUGUCCGGAAUUAUUGGGCGUAAAGGGCUCGUAGGCGGUUUGUCGCGUCGGGAGUGAAAACACCGGGCUUAACUCCGAAACUGCAUUCGAUACUGCCGUGCUUGAGGACUGGAGAGGAGACUGGAAUUUACGGUGUAGCGGUGAAAUGCGUAGAUAUCGUAAGGAAGACCAGUGGCGAAGGCGGGUCUCUGGACAGUUCCUGACGCUGAGGCACGAAGGCCAGGGGAGCAAACGGG
rnacentral:rRNA from 1 species